GUGAGGAGUGUGGUGUUCCCCAGACACAUUUGGGUGUCCUUCUUCAGCGUGCUAGAUAAAAACGAACGCUUUCGUUGUGUGCCGUCUUCGGGGACCCCGCAAACAGCCUGGCGGUGUGACCAGGACACAUGCCCGAGAGUCAUGCUGCCACUCUGCCUCCUUCCUUCUGUGAUUCGAAGCUGGCUCUCCUGAUCCCUACUUACUGGCCCCGGAUCACCUGCUCGCCUCCCUGACCCCUCAACCACAGAAACGUGCUCCUGUCCAUCGAGGAAGCAAAGCUCUCAUUUACUAAACACUGAGGAAUAAAAUCAGUUUCAGGUUA